rnacentral:rRNA from 1 species
GGGUUAGUAGGUUGGUCAUGCCUCUGGUAUGUACUGGUCUCACUGAUUCCUCCUUCCUGAUGAACCGUAAUGCCAUUAAUUUGGUGUUGCGGGGAAUUUGGACUGUUACUUUGAAAAAAUUAGAGUGUUUAAAGCAGGCCUACGCUUGAAUACAUUAGCAUGGAAUAAUAGAAUAGGACU